UCUCUGGUAGCGGAGAGAGCUUUUCCCCCGCGGUGGUCGUGGGAUCUCCCGGCGAGGCCCUAGGUUCCCGUGCGGUGGCGGCGAAAUCGGUGAAGGCCACCGAGCGAGGAACUGGGAGGAUUCCGCUCGCUCCCGUCCUCGUGUUCCGUCGCUCUCUGGAAGUGAAAAGUAUGGGUUUGCAAGGAUGUUGAGGAGCUGGAUUCCUCCAUGCCGGAGCUUCCAGGGAGCGACCACUGUUUCGAGGUGACGGUAGGAGGCUGCUGGCUGCGUCGCCGGCGUGACUGUGUUGGUGCAUACUUGUGUGAAGAUUCAUCUUGAACAUCGAGUGUUGCUGGAAAGCUUUUUACCCGUUGGUAAAAUCAGACAAUGUUGGCCGCUUAAACGAUGAUGAACAAUAUCGCUGAUGACGGUAGAUUUUGAUGAUGGAUGUAAGUACACUUUUGCCAUAGACCAGAGGAGGAGAUCAAAGAGUGGAUGCUUGUUCGGUUCUACAUGGAAUAGCAAGAAAUCGUAUAAGCUGGACAUGCAUUUCCUAACUCACCACAAUAUUGGGUACUAAGCUGUGAUAAGGCAAGCUAGAGAUCUCAGGAAAUGCUACCCAUUGAUUCAAGACAAUUUGGUGGGAGAUGUACACGAUUGAUCAAGAAAAGAAAAGAGGUUCUGGAGUGAGCUACAACGGGUUGCCCAAAUACUUUUGCGUUCCUCAUUGUGCCGUAGUUCUCCUCAUUCUCGUCCAUCAUGAUGUGGAUCUAUCUUUUUCUUGCCCGAGAUUUCUUUGUUUUCCUCUUUGUUUUUCUGCUUUCCUGUUUGGUGCCCGUUGUCGCUGGAACCAGGCUGCUUUUGCAUGGGGAGGAAGAAGAAGGGGGGAGAUGGUGACGUGGAGGCAACUGGUGGACCAGGCCAACGAAAAUAGAAGGCCUAGUUUCCUGUUUUUUGUGAAAUCCUCAACAAAGGCUGAUGUAUAAAUAAUGAGCUACUCCUUUUUCAGUUAUUAUGUACAAGAGCCCAGUUUUAAAACGGCAGAUGUAUAAAAAAUGGGCUAAUGGAAAAAAACCAGGCUGGCCGAACUGAUCGGAAUGAAUUUGUUUGUGUUU